CAGGACGAACGCUGGCGGCGUGCUUAACACAUGCAAGUGGAGCGACGAACCGGGGCUUGCCCCGGGGCAGAGCCGCGAACGGGUGAGUAACACGUGGGUAACCCACCUCGAUGAUUGGGACAACCCGGGGAAACUCGGGCUAAUACCAAAUGUGCUCGUAGACCAUGAGGUCCAUGAGGAAAGAUAGCUUCGGCCUUCGCAUCGAGACGGGCCCGCGGCCCAUUAGCUUGUUGGUGAGGUAACGGCUCACCAAGGCGACGAUGGGUAGCUGGUCUGAGAGGACGAUCAGCCACACUGGGACUGAGACACGGCCCAGACUCCUACGGGAGGCAGCAGUGGGGAAUCUUGCGCAAUGCGCGAAAGCGUGACGCAGCAACGCCGCGUGGAGGAAGACGGUCUUCGGAUUGUAAACUCCUUUCAGUUGGGACGAAGCUCAACGGGUUAAUAGUCCGGCGGAGUGACGGUACCUUCAGAAGAAGCCCCGGCUAACUACGUGCCAGCAGCCGCGGUAAUACGUAGGGGGCUAGCGUUGUCCGGAAUCAUUGGGCGUAAAGCGCGUGUAGGCGGUCCGGUAAGUCCGCUGUGAAAGUCGGGGGCUCAACCCUCGAAUGCCGGUGGAUACUGUCGGGCUAGAGUGCGGAAGA
rnacentral:rRNA from 1 species